UAAUAUCAGAACAUCAGACAUGUUAAUAUGUGUUGUAGUGGUUUAAUAAUAUCAGAACAUCGGACAUGUUAAUAUGUGUUGUAGUGGUUUAAUAAUAUCAGAACAUCAGACAUGUUAAUAUGUGUUGUAGUGGUUUAAUAAUAUCAGAAUAUCAGACAUGUUAAUAUGUGGAUGGGCAUUACUCUGGAUCAGAAGGUUGGGUUUUGGUUGGGGAGGUGGAUGGGCAUUACUCUGGAUCAGAAGGUUGGGUUUUGGUUGGGGAGGUUGAUGGGCAUUACUCUGGAUCAGAAGGUUGGGUUUUGGUUGGGGAGGUGGAUGGGCAUUACUCUGGAUCAGAAGGUUGGGUUUUGGUUGGGGAGGUGGGAUGGGCAUUACUCUGGAUCAGAAGGUUGGGUUUUGGUUGGGGAGGUUGAUGGGCAUUACUCUGGAUCAGAAGGUUGGGUUUUGGUUGGGGAGGUUGAUGGGCAUUACUCUGGAUCAGAAGGUUGGGUUUUGGUUGGGGAGGUGGAUGGGCAUUACUCUGGAUCAGAAGGUUGGGUGUCUGAUCCCAGUAUUUUUU
rnacentral:lncRNA from 1 species